rnacentral:rRNA from 1 species
GAUGAACGCUGGCGGCGUGCCUAAUACAUGCAAGUCGAGCGAACAGACGAGGAGCUUGCUCCUCUGACGUUAGCGGCGGACGGGUGAGUAACACGUGGAUAACCUACCUAUAAGACUGGGAUAACUUCGGGAAACCGGAGCUAAUACCGGAUAAUAUAUUGAACCGCAUGGUUCAAUAGUGAAAGACGGUUUUGCUGUCACUUAUAGAUGGAUCCGCGCCGCAUUAGCUAGUUGGUAAGGUAACGGCUUACCAAGGCAACGAUGCGUAGCCGACCUGAGAGGGUGAUCGGCCACACUGGAACUGAGACACGGUCCAGACUCCUACGGGAGGCAGCAGUAGGGAAUCCUCCGCAAAGGGCGAAAGCCUGACGGAACAACGCCGCGUGAGUGAUGAAGGUCUUCGGAUCGUAAAACUCUGUUAUUAGGGAAGAACAAAUGUGUAAGUAACUAUGCACGUCUUGACGGUACCUAAUCAGAAAGCCACGGCUAACUACGUG